AACGCACAUUGCGCCCGCCAGUAUUCUGGCGGGCAUGCCUGUUCGAGCGUCAUUUCAACCCUCAAGCCCCCGGGCUUGGUGUUGGGGAUCGGCCGCCCUCCGGCGCGCCGGCCCCGAAAUCUAGUGGCGGUCUCGCUGUAGCCUCCUCUGCGUAGUAGCACACCUCGCACCGGAACGCAGCCUGGCCACGCCGUUAAACCCCCCACUUCUGAAGGUUGACCUCGGAUCAGGUAGGAAUACCCGCUGAACUUAA
rnacentral:misc_RNA from 1 species